rnacentral:lncRNA from 1 species
AUGGGCCGGGGGCAGGUCACAGCCCCGCAGGACGGGGUCCACCCGGGAGGGCCUCAUCAUGGCUCCGGCUCCAUCUCUGGGGCUCUGCGAUCCGCCCAGCUGCCCCCUCGGCCUUGGCUCCAGCGCCCAGGAGGGAGAGGUCCCCUCCCUCAGCCUGUGCCGGAGUGUUCCGCCAGCCAGCAGGGGAGGCGGGGCAUUGUGUCCUGGAGGUCCCGGCACCAUGCGUGCAGGCUGGCGCGGGCGACUCGGCACACAGACGCCCCCGCCCUGGAGCCCCACGGCCGUCCCAGGAGGGCCCCCCACGGCCCCUGGGGCUGGCCGCAGUGCGGAGGCCAGCUGCUCCGGGCGCCCAGCCGGGCCUGUGGCUUCCUUGCGGGCAGGACCCGGGCCCGGUGUCUGGCUUGUGUAUCUUCCCGCCCGGCUCCGCGGCGCCCUGGCUGUGAGAGGUGGGGCCAGGCCCCCCCAAGCCUCGAGUCCAAGCCGGUGCCCCUGGACAGCCACACCCUCACGCCCGGGGCCAGCCUGGCGCAGGGACCCGAGGCCCCGCCUGCAACACCAGCACCCACGGGAGCACCAGGGGCGUCACGUCCCAGGGGCUCUGCUCCUGCUCGCCCGGGUGACUGCCCGGGGGCCUGGACCCCUGCCGCCCGCGCAGACCGGAAUGCUGGUCCCGGAUCCCGGCUUCGGCCUGGCUCAGCCCCAAGCAACCACGGAAGCUCUGCCUUUCACACAAAUAAAAUAAAAUAUUCUUUACGUCUCAGCCGGAAGCUCUUGCUCUGCGGGGCCGCACCCAGACCCAGGGUGCAGGGGGAGCACCUGGGGGCGGGGCGCCCCCAGGGCUCCGGGAAGGGUCAGCGUCCACCGAAGCCUCCAGACUCGCGGGGCUGCCACCCCCCCCCCCAGGACCUCGUUCUCACCCUCCCCAACCCGACGCCCCGCCUGGGGCCGGAGACACAGCACGGCCUGGCCGCUGGGCCCAGGGAGCGUGGGCGUGGAUGGAGUGUCCGGCGAGCUCUGCAUGGGCGUGGCCUGGAGAGGUGGCCAUGUGGGCGUGGCCUGGCGGGGCGGAGGAUGGCGAGGUGGUCUGUGGGCGUGGCCUGGGCAGGUGACCUCCAUGUUUUCCUCCUCGGUCUGCCCUGCCCAACAGCCCUCCCUCCCCCCCCGGGGGGGGCUUCUCAGGGGUCUCGGCGGCCUGGGACCGGUGCCCUCGGGGCCUCUCCACCAGGGUUCGAGGGCUCGGACCGGUGCUGUGGCCCAGUGGGUAAAGCUGCCACAUGGACGCUGGUUCGAGUCCCGGCUGCUCCCCUUCCUAUCCAAUUCCCUACUAUGGCCGGGGAAAGCAGUGGAAGAGGGCCCAAGUGUUGGGGCGCCCACGUGGGGGACCCAGAAUCUCCUGGCUCCUGGUUCGGGUUGUGGCCAUCUGGGGAGUGA